rnacentral:rRNA from 1 species
AUUGAACGCUGGCGGGAUGCUUUACACAUGCAAGUCGAACGGCAGCGCGGGCUUCGGCCUGGCGGCGAGUGGCGAACGGGUGAGUAAUACAUCGGAACGUGCCCAGUAGUGGGGGAUAGCUCGGCGAAAGCCGGAUUAAUACCGCAUACGACCUGAGGGUGAAAGCGGGGGAUCUUCGGACCUCGCGCUAUUGGAGCGGCCGAUGGCAGAUUAGCUAGUUGGUGGGGUAAAGGCCUACCAAGGCGACGAUCUGUAGCUGGUCUGAGAGGACGACCAGCCACACUGGGACUGAGACACGGCCCAGACUCCUACGGGAGGCAGCAGUGGGGAAUUUUGGACAAUGGGCGAAAGCCUGAUCCAGCAAUGCCGCGUGUGUGAUGAAGGCCUUCGGGUUGUAAAGCACUUUUGGCGGGAACGAAAAGGACUGUGCCAAUACCACGGUUCGAUGACGGUACCCGCAGAAUAAGCACCGGCUAACUACGUG